AUAUACUACAAAUGAGAGCGUCUGAAACAGAACAAUUCACGAUCCUUCAAGAAUCUCAUCACGUGACUAAUGCUGUCGUAACAAUAUACUAGUGCAGCUCUAAUGUAGAGGACAAUGUUUAGAACGUUUUCCACCUUUUGUCUUUAAGUAUCUUUAACUACAGUAUAAGUACAAAAUUCUGGGUUUAAAAUAACUAUUACGCUUUCUAAGAAACACUUAGUUCAUGAAUAUAAUAAAGUUUUAUGCCAGAUAGGAAUAUAUAUUGGGUGUCUAACAUUAAUAAUAAUGAUUAGAAGACCUGGAGGUAUUACAAAUGUACAAAUAAUAGUAGCAGCAGUAGUUGGAUUCGUUUCAGGGGUAUAUAUUUGGAAUUCACCUUUAGAAAAAUAUGCGAAGAAAAGACGGAAUGAAUUAAGUAAACAUGAAAAUCAACGUUAGAUUACUACUAGUAGGAUGCAGAAGUAAAAUAAAGACCUAAGCUCGUUGGACUUGUGUAACGCAUCAUGAAAGAAGUAGCAGUAUAUAGAAGCCUCUCCAGAUUUUUAACAGACAAAUAUGAGUUCUAACUUAUCUUAUUGGGACAACUGCUUUCUCCAUUACCAUAUGAUUUAUACUUCCAGUCAUUGUUGGAUACUCUGACAGUACAUUUGAAAGGAGCAUUUCAUCUUUACACUCUAUGGUCAGCAAGCUGUUGAAUGGACUAAUCACUGCUCUAGUAUGCUAUAUAAAUUACAGAAUAAUACUAAUUAAAGCUGGGUAAGAAAAAGGCACUUGAAACAUAUAAAAAUCAAGAAAUGUUCUGUUACAAGUUAAAGAGAAAAUAAAUAGAAAAUUACCAUACUUUGA